UCACCGACAUCCGUGCCGUGUUCGGCUCGGCUGACAGGAUGUCGUCGGCUGGGCUCGCCGAGAAGCUGGCCGGGCUCGAGGAGUCACCGUGGGGUGAUUGGUACGGCAAACCGAUCGAUGCCCGAUGGCUAGCCCGCAAGCUCAAGCCGUUUGGGAUCGGUCCCAAGGCGGUACGCAUCGGCGAGACAACACCCCGGGGUUAUGUCGUCGAGGACUUCCAUGAUGUGUGGGCGCGGUACCUAUCUACACCCCCCGCAGAGACCACAACAAGCGCAACAAGUGCAACACCGCAGGUAGCGCUUACCAGGGAUGUUGCGGAUGUUGCGGAUGUUGCGGUUCCUGAGGAUGGGAACGGGCAGCACGCGGUCGACCUGUUCGAGCGCGAGUUCGGUCCGCUGGAGGACGUCGAACCCCACAUCGCCUAUGCCCGAGCUCAGAACCCAGGACUCGGACCGCUUGACCCAGAGGACCGAUGGUGACCCGGAGGGGGGCGGGGCCGCGACGCAACAUCGGCCCCGCGGCAGGACGCUCCGCCAGUCCGCGUUUCUCUCCCCACGCUAUGGGGGGGGUUAACCGCCCUCUCUCUAUUUGGUCGGCGGUAACCCUCGAAAGGAAUCAAGAUGCCCGACACCGACGAUCUCGACAUGUCCCGGUUCCCCUACGAAGCCCGCCAGGCCCUACACGACGAGCUCAUCCUCCCCGAGUCCCUCGACCCCGGCCUCUACGCCAAACCCGACCCCGACAAUGAGCGGAUCGAACUGUUGGACCGUCACGGCACACACCUCACCUGGCUGCCCUGGUACCGGCUCCGCUACCCCGAUCACGUGCAGUUGCAGAAGCUCGCGGCGAAGGUUCUCACCCAGUUCGAGACCGGGCUCGCCGACCAGAUCGUCACAGCCAUCAACCAGGACGAAGUCACGGUGCUGCAGCCACCCGACGACGACUACAUCGGAGUUGUCGUCCAUCUCGGUGACCGCGUCCUGCCGUUGUUCUCGGCGCAUCGCCGGGCUGUCGUGCCCGGCUACCCGCAACCCGGCGAUGACAGCGACGACGGGUAGGGGGCGGGUCGGCGACGCAACGGUGACCAGCCCACAGGAGCCGCUACCCACCGGCGCGAAUAGUUAUAACCAUCGGUUAUCAUGCGGCUGUCAGCUCGGCAUCCAGCCGACGCCAGGUAGGCAAGCGGACUCUGGGGAGUCCCACCCGGCUAGGCCAGUCGCCAUGCAGACGUCGUGACGUUUCCGACGACCUGUAGGUGAUCUAUGCCUGGCCCGCUCUACCGCACCAGCGAAGUGCUGCUCCGCGCCGACCUGGCCGGCCGCACCAUCCACGGGCUCGCCGUCCCCUACGGCGUCGUCGCCGAGGUCUCGGACGGUGGACCCGUCUACCGCGAACAGUUCGCUGUCGGGGCGUUCACCCGCUCGAUCGCCGAACGUGGCCACAAGGUGCGGCUGUUCGUCCAGCACGAGACCCGGCGGCUCCCGAUCGGAAGGCCGUCGACCUCGAGGAACGCUCGGACGGGGUCCACGGCGCCUUCACGGUCGCCCGGACCCGUGACGGCGACGACGCCCUCGAGCUCGUCGACACCGGUGUCGUCGACGGAUUCUCGAUCGGGUUCACCCCCGUGCGGGACCGCCGCGAGGGCGGCGUCACCGUCCGCACCGAAGCCGCCCUCCG
rnacentral:misc_RNA from 1 species